rnacentral:rRNA from 1 species
GAUGAACGCUGGCGGCGUGCCUAAUACAUGUAAGUCGAGCGAACAGACGAGGAGCUUGCUCCUCUGACGUUAGCGGCGGACGGGUGAGUAACACGUGGAUAACCUACCUAUAAGACUGGGAUAACUUCGGGAAACCGGAGCUAAUACCGGAUAACAUGUUGAACCGCAUGGUUCAACAGUGAAAGACGGUCUUGCUGUCACUUAUAGAUGGAUCCGCGCCGCAUUAGCUAGUUGGUAAGGUAACGGCUUACCAAGGCAACGAUGCGUAGCCGACCUGAGAGGGUGAUCGGCCACACUGGAACUGAGACACGGUCCAGACUCCUACGGGAGGCAGCAGUAGGGAAUCUUCCGCAAUGGGCGAAAGCCUGACGGAGCAACGCCGCGUGAGUGAUGAAGGUCUUCGGAUCGUAAAACUCUGUUAUUAGGGAAGAACAAAUGUGUAAGUAACUAUGCACGUCUUGACGGUACCUAAUCAGAAAGCCACGGCUAACUACGUG